rnacentral:lncRNA from 1 species
AAGGAGCAAGUGCUCGGAACCUCGAAAGAAAAGAAAAAGUGAGACGAGAGGUAAAAAUGGACAAGUGUCCGACAGUAGAAUUAGGGGUGCAAGAUACCCACCUGAGAGAAAAGAAAAAGAAGAGCAUCUCAUUCUCCUCAUAAAGUUUCAAAAGCAAGGAAGGUAUGUAUCCCAUCAAAGAGCAAAAGUAGAAUUAGACUUCCACCACCAUUGUUUUCAUCAUUGUUAUCACCAUCAUCACCAUACACCAUUCAUUCGCCACACAUGCACAUCUUGAUUAAACUUAUUGACUUGUUACUUUGGAUCCAUGGUUUGGCUAUGCAAUAAAUGUCUUGUAAGUAUGUAUACUUUAUCUCCCACCUAUGAGCUCCAGAUAUUAAAGCCUUAUUAGAGUAGGGUGAGAGAAAAGGCAACGUAACUAUGCCUCAUACCACAAAUACCACAUAUAUUGAGAGAAGGCAUAUACCAUCACUGCCUUGGUAAGGAUCCAAAAAUACCACAAAAGAGAGACCUGAGAGAAUCAUACAAGGAAUCUCUGAGUUUUAUUUGAAAAUCUGCAAGAAACCCCAGAGCUAUAGCUGAUCAAGAAUAAGAGACAUGGCACUUGGCUAGACUAUUCUAUCUUUUAACCACUCAAGACAGAAGUGACGGUUACAAGUCCCAUGGUGGAGGUAAAGUAAGUAAGUUUUAAGUCUUGACAGUUUACUCUAACUGAGAGAUGAGAUCUUAUUUAAAAGCAUGUGUACCGUCAAAUUUUUAAAAGAUAUUGCAACUACUUCUGGUCCAUAGCUGAGUCUAUCCUUGCUCAGGGACGAGCAAGAGGUAAGCUUGGGGGAGUUUGUUGACGGUCCUUAAGUAUCAAAUUUAAUUAUCAAAUAAAUAAAGAAAAGGAUCCAAAUGAAAUCAAGAUCUAGACUUAGGGUUUUAUCUGACAGAAUUCCAUGAGUUUUGGUGUUUGUCUAUUUCUGCGGGGGGUUAUCAGGAAAUAUGGAAGAAAGGCCCACAUGUCAGGAUUACGUAAAGAUAUUAACGUGCUGCGCAAUUAUCUUACAUCUAGAAGACUCCAGAAGCCACAAGACUGAAGCGGAGGCGAAACGGGGCCAGACCCUGGGCGGCCGCCCAGUUGGUCAGGGCGCCCGCCCACCCCCUGUGUCCAAUCAGGACUCUGCUUUGCGGGAGAUCUCCACCGACCUAAAGGAUGAAUCUAAACCAUACAAUCUAUGUCGGUUUGAUCCAAGGGCCCAUAUUCACUUGAAGGGACUAUAAAACCAGACCCCCUGGCCCCUGGAGGAGAGAGCCUCUCAACCCUAAUUCAUUGUUUCAUCAAGGGAGAAGAAGCCUCUGAUCAAGAUUAGAGCCACAACAUCAAUUAGACAUCUAGAUUAGCAUAGCUACAUAGGAUUAGAACUAGAAGGAGUCAAUCUUCGAUUGGUUUCCGGAUCUGUCAAGAGGAUUCUUGGUAAUGCUCUAAUUGUGCUUCUAAUUACUUUCUAAUUAUCUUUGUUCUUCAAUAUUAUGAAUAUGACUUUGUUCUACUUCAAUAUAUUGCUUAUGACUUUGCUCUACUUGCUUAUAUUCAAGAUUAUAUUGUUCUUAGUUUAUCAUAGUUAUGUACUUGGCUUAGUUAGAUACGAUCUAUAUACAUGCUUAGGAUCGUAUAGCGUUUGUCCAUCGGAUCCAUGGGUAAAUGAUAGAUAUUGUGUAGGCGUGGUGCUUAUACCGUAUUUAUCUGCGAUUGUACCCAAUAUGCCAGAUCGUGGGGUAGUUCGUGAUAGUGACAGCUUCAUUGAUUCUUAUAUAGUCCCCCUCUCGUGUAUUGGGCUGGCAGAGCAACAUUAUUACAGGGGUGUGAUUGCUAUGUUUCUCAUAUUCCUUGCUAAUAUCACUAUGCAUGGGCGUAGUCUUGUCUCGCAAUGAUUGCUAAGUAUGCUUGCACUAACUAUGAUAAUGCUAGACUAUAUAGUUAAGAAUAACUUAGGGAAUAUUCUUGUAGUUCGUUCUAAUACCAUGCUAAUGACUUUCUAGAGUAUCUAAUUGAGGUGCUUAUCAUAUUUAUUAUGUGGCUAGAUCAGAUUAGUUAUCCUUGUCACUGUUAUUAUUUCAUAUAUCUUUUAUGUGACACUUAUCCCUGUAUGAAGAGUUAGAUAUAAUGUUCUCAAUUAUACAUGCAAUGAUAGAUGCUCAAUCUCAUAUUCUAUUCUGUAAUCAUUAGUGAUGAUUUCUAAUCCCUUCUCAGUGGUAAAAAUAUAAAUAACGAUACCUGGAAUACUUCCCGGUUAAAAUGCUGCAUCGGUAUUAAUCUGUGCACUUGCAGAUCCCAUUCAUUAUUUAUUUAGAAGAGCAAUUGCAUAUUUCAAUACCGCGUCUCUCAUAUCAUGCUGGGGAUGACAACUUGGCUUAAGUGGUGUGAGGGAUAGGUUUGGCAUUUUUGGCACCGUUACUAGAUUUAGAGAACUUAGUCUACUUUUGGUAAUGAUGUUAAGAAUACCCAACAGUAGACAUGUUGUCUGCAAAGCUAGACCUGCUCAUGAAGAAGCUCGAUGAUAGAGCUGGAGACAAGAAAGAAGUUAUGCACAUCUACGACUCUCACAUGACUUGUGAGGAGUGUGGAGACACUGGACACUCAGGCAACCACUGCCCUGAGAUACUUGAGGAUGUGAACUACAUCAACAACAACAACAACAACUACUACAACCGUCCUCAACAAAAUCAAGGUUGGAAUCAACAGAGGCCUAACUACUUAGGUAAUUAUCAAGGUAACAAUUCUUAUAACAACAAUAGUAAUUUUCCACCUUUGAGAGAGUUAGUGUCUAAUCAAGGAAAGCUAAUGGAUAACCUAUCUAAGAAAUUGGCAUCUAAUGAUAAAAUGCUAGAAAAUAUAAAUAAUAGAAUGGAUAAUUUUUCUACUGCCAUCAAGAAUCAAAUUAGCUUUAAUAAAAUGAUUGAAUCUCAGUUAAAUCAAAUAGCUGCUGCUGUUCCUACUACUAACCCCGGUAUACCAUCACAACCGGAAGGAUUAGAAUCUGCAAAUCUUGUAGACGUGUUUGAUGCAGGUAAUUGGAGUAACCCCGUCACUGAAUUUUCUACUGACCGUCUGCCGGUCAAGAGAGGCGAUCCAGGACGCCCCGUCAUCCCGAUCUCCAUCGGCAUGGUGGACUUCCCAGAAGCACUCUGUGACUUUGGCUCUAGCGUCAACAUUAUACCCAGGGUACUCUAUGAAAAAUUCUUUACAUAUCCUUUAUUAGAGACAACCAUGUGUUUGCAGUUUGUAGAUCAGACGAUAACUUUUCCAAAAGGAAUAGUGAAGAACCUUUGUGUCCGAGUUGGUACCUUAUAUGCCCCAGCAGACUUCGUAGUGGUAGAGACCGGAAAUGAUGAGAGAGCACCUAUCAUCCUAGGGAGGCAAUUCUUGAACACCACAGGAGCUAUCAUCUACGCCAGUGCUGCCAAGAUCAGUUUCUACGUCAAAGGGAAGAAGGAGACAUUUUUCUUCAAGAACAAGACUACACAAAUUCCAAAUCAAUCCAGACGUGAAUCAAGAAAGAGGACCAACAGGAGGAACAGGGACAAGCAAGUGUGGACCGAGUCAGCUAAGAUGGUCACUGUAGUUCAUGGAGGUCAAGAUCACCAACUUAAGUCACCGUUUUUGACCAAGAAGGACGACCCAGGAAUGCCAAGCAUCUACUGCUCCAUAAAUGGAUACAACUUCUACAAGACGAUUUGCGACACCGGAUCGGGCGUCAACAUAAUGGCCGCAGUCACUUAUCGGCUCUUGUUCGGGACCAUGCCACUAAGACCAACAUACAUUCAACUCCAGAUGGCAGAUCAGACAUUUCGAGAAGUUCAAGGAAUAGUAUCUGAUGUCCCAGUCAAAAUAGACGAUCACUUUGUCUACACAGACUUUCAAGUUGUUGACAUGGGAGAAGACGAGUAUGAUCCACCCAUCAUCCUUGGAAGACCGUUCCUCAGCACCGUUAAAGCAAUUAUCUACAUUGGAACUGGAGAAGUCCAUAUGCACUUCCCCUCAGAGAAGGUACGCCGUUAUUUUACUGACCCUAACUAUAUCAUUGAAGAAUCUAAGCAGGUAAGAAAGCGACGCAACCGCAACCAGAGGAGGCAGAUCAUCAAGGACGGAUGGGCAGACUAUGAAGGAGAUGUUGUAAGGUCAGAAGACAUAGAGUUUAAACAGAAUUAUCCAGAGGAGAUUGAAGCACCGAGUCAGGUAUGGAAAAUGAAGAUAACUGUACAAGAAGAGGAGGCGCUGCCGGAAGUACCGACUACGCCACCCAACGAACCUCAGGACGAUUAAGAAAAUGGAGAGUCCCGUUCGGAGGACUUAAAAACACCAACGCCUUGCCAAGAGGUAAACUUGGUAGUUAUCAUUUCCCUUUCAAUUAUUUCAAAUAGUUUACUUAGUUAAUCAUAUUCACACUAUCUUAAAAAGAAAAUAAAAAUGUUAAAAACAGUAAGCCCCAUGUGAGUAGACGAGUGGCAUGAAACCCAUAGGUACAUUCACUGUGGUGGCAUAAAAAUAAAAUAAAUAUUUUUCUGCUUUAUAAAAACAAAAAUAUAAAAACAGGGAGUAAUAAUUAUUAGGAGUCUCAACAUGAUAAAGGCUAGAUAUUUAUGCUAACACUUAAUCAGUUCCACAAGCUUUGUUGUCUAUUUGAGCUCCACAGAAUUUAAGAAUCAAGAAGACUAGCAGACGGAGGACAUCCUAAUCGCUGUCAGAAUGCUGCUGACUUUCAAAUACACCUCUGCCACCUGCUAGCUACACCAAGAGAAAUUACGUCAAAAUUCAGCUUGGGGGAGAGCACCCCCAUUUAUCUAGAUAAGUAUUUCUAUCUAUCUUUAUACUUAUAUUAUUUUAGAAUAUAAAUAACUAUGAAAAAACCAAAUAAACAUUUUAUGCUUAUAUAUAUGCCUUUUGCUUAGUGUGUUUAAUAAAUAAAUAAAGUGGCUAUGCUAAUCUGUAUCUAAAUAAAACUUAAGCAUGGAUAUGAUAAAUAGUUGCUCUGCCUAAUUUGCAAAUUUUAAGUUCUCUCUCAAGUUUAGAUAUAACUGUUAUAAUUUAAAUAUUGCUCUAGACCUAAACUUGUGGGAUGAAAACUUGAUCUGAAGUCUAAGUUGUUAACGGAUAUGAUAUGGGAAGGUUGAGCUGCUGUUUAUCUGUUCCUAGAGAUGCUAGAAUUCUGGAGAAUUUUAUCUUUGAAAAUCUUUAAAAUCUUGCAUGAUGAGUUCCUGUAUGAUGAGAGCUUAAAUUCCUACCACAGCCAUAUAUGCAUGCUUGCUAGACUUUGAGCCACACAUUUAUUAUUUACUGCUUAUGAGCAUUAAGUGUGGUCAAGCUGUGUAGACCCUUAGGAGCUUGUCUUGUGGUUAAAUCAAGAUUUCACUUGCACGUCCACUCAUAUAUGCUACUUCUACUCCGGAAGUACCAUCCACAUAUAUCCAUCCAUUUCCAUCUCCAGAAUCACCCAAAAAUAUUCUACUCCUAAUCCGGGAGAGAAUAACCAAAAAUAUUUCUGUUUUUCCCUUGUGAAAUAAAUGCUCAAGUUAUCUUGUUACUACCACUUGCUAUAUUAUCUCAUGAGAUGAGUGCUCUAAAAAAAAGAGAUACGAGGAAAUAAAAAGGAGCAAGUGCUCGGAACCUCGAAAGAAAAAAAAAGAAAAGAAAAAGUGAGACGAGAGGUAAAAAUGGACAAGUGUCCGACAGUAGAAUUAGGGGUACAAGAUACCCACCUGAGAGACAAGAAAAAGAUAGAGCAUCUCAUUCUCAUCAUAAAGUUUCAAAAGCAAGGAAGGUAUGUAUCCCCUCAAAAGAGCAAAGUAGAAUUAGACUUCCACCCCCAUUGUUUCCACCAUUGUUAUCACCAUACACCAUUCAUUCGCCACACAUGCACAUUUUGAUUUGGCUUAUUGAUUUGUUUCUUUGGAUCCAUGGUUUGACUAUGCAAUAAAUGUCUUGUAAGUAUGUAUACUUUAUCUCCCACCUAUGAACUCCAGAUAUUAAAGCCUUAUUAGAGUAGGGUGAGAGAAAAGGCAAUGUCACUAUGCCUCAUACCACAAAUACUACAUAUCUUGAGAGAAGGCAUAUACCAUCAAUGCCUUGGUAAGGAUCCAAAAAUACCACAAAAGAGAGACCUGAGAGAAUCAUACAAGGAAUUUCUGAGUUUUAUUUGAAAAUCUGCAAAAACUCUAGAGCUAUAGCUGAUCAAGAAUAAGAGACAUAGCACUUGGCUAGACUAUUCUAUCUUUUAACUACUCAAGACAGAAGUGACAGUUACAAGUCCCAUGGUGAAG